GGAUAUUGUGUGUAGAUUGAUGAAAAAACUAUUUAAUCUAUUUUAGAAUUAGGCUGUAACGUAACAAAAUGUGGAAAAAUUGAAUGAGUCUGAAUACUUUCCGAAUGCACUGAAUGUACUGUAGUCUAUUCAAUGCCACUCCAACAUUAAUCGUCCUAACAUUUACAAUUCCAUUAUUUUACUUUGAGAUCUGUGUGUAUUGUUGUGAAUAUUUAGAUACUACUGCACUGUUGGAGCUCGGAACACAAGCAUUUCGCUUCACCCACAAUAACAUCUGCUGCCGCCGACGGAGAUGGCAGCAUUGCUACUAGCUCUUAAGCAACUCUGCAGUAUUUUGUUUGUUCAUGUACUAUUUUUUACAUUAUUAGCUCAGGAAUUGUUUUGUGUCAUUACAUACUGGGAAGAACUAUUGGAUAUUAUAGCGGCUGUAACUCACCAGAAUUUCCAGCCCUACAACCAGGAUUAUGACUUCCCUGGAGCGGAUCCUUUGUUUGCUCUCCCUAGAGCAAUCAAACUUAUUCCAGAGGCUGACCCAAAACAACACCAGCGAAGGAGAGGUACUCGAGGUGGUCUUCUGGUCCGACUCAGGAAGCGUGCACAACACCCACCACUCCCGAGUAAUUUACUCGCUAAUGUCCAAUCUCUGGAUAAUAAAAUUGAUGAUCUCAAGGCAAGAGUUGCUUUUCAGAGGGACACCAGGGAUUGGAAUGUACUCUGCUUCACGGAAACAUGGCUCUCUCUCUAUAUACUGUCUGACUCUGUAAAGCCAGUUCGGUUCUCAGUACAUCCCACCGACAGGAACAAACAUCUCUCCGGGAGGCAGAAGGAUGGAGGUAUAUGUUUUAUGAUUAACGACUUAUGGUGUAACUGUGAUAACACACAUAAACUCAAGUCCUUCUGUUCACCCGACCUAGAAUAUCUCAUAAUUAAAUGCCGACCGUACUAUCUGACAGAGACAAGGAAAACCAGCCACGUCGCGGACACCAACGUCUUGCUUCCAGACAGGCUGAACACCUUCUUCGCUCACUUUGAGGAUAAUACAGUCCCACCGACGCGGCCCGCUACCAAGGACUGUGGGCUCUCCUUCUACGUGGCCGAUUCUGUUGUCCCCACAUGCUUCAAGAUGGUCACCAUUGUCCCUGUAUCUAAGAAAGCAAAGGUAAUUGAACUAAAUGACUAUCGCCACGUACACUCACCUCUGUUAUCAUGAAGUGCUUUGAGAGACUAGCCAAGGAUCAUAUCACCUCCAACUUACCUGCCUCCCUAGACCUUCUUCAAUUUGCUCACCACCCCAAUAGAUCUACAGACGAUGCAAUCGCCACCACACUGCACACUGCCCAGUCCCAUUUGGACAAGAGGCAUACCUAUGUUAGAAUGCUGUUCAUUGACUAUAGCUGGAGGAAACAGCAGCAGGAGCACCCCCCUAUCCACAUUGAUGGGACAGCUAUCAUUCAGAAGGCGAGGUCAGAACCCCUCCUGUCUCAGCCUCCAGUAUUUAUGCUGCAGUAGUUAAUGUGUCGGGGGGCUAGGGUCAGUUUAUUAUAUCUGGAGUACCUCUCCUGUCCUAUUCG
ensembl:lncRNA